rnacentral:rRNA from 1 species
CGCCUACGGGACGCAGCAGUUAGGAAUAUUCAUCAAUGGGGGAAACCCUGAACGAGCAAUGCCGCGUGAAGGAUGACGGUCCUAUGGAUUGUAAACUUCUGUUGUUAGGGAAGAACGACCUAAGUAGGAAAUGACUUAGGAGUGACGGUACCUUUCAAGAAAGCUCCGGCUAACUACGUGCCAGCAGCCGCGGUAAUACGUAGGGAGCGAGCGUUAUCCGGAUUUAUUGGGCGUAAAGAGGGAGCAGGCGGCAGCAAAGGUCUGUGGUGAAAGACUGAAGCUUAACUUCAGUAAGCCAUAGAAAC